AUCCUUUGUGUCCCACAUCAUUCUUGCUGGUGAGAAGUAGCAUGUGACAUUUGGUGCCAGAAACCCGGAAAAAAGACCUCACCACCGUCAGCACCUCCGUAGACGCUUGGUGACAAAGAAGAUUCAGAACUGCAGGAUAAUGAAAAUCCAGUUUGGGUUCUGGGAUGACUUACUCGGAAUAUCAAGACAGAGGACCAAGAAGAUGACAACUCUGCUGAUCCUCAUGCUGAUCCAGGGAGUGCCAAUAAAGGUGCAGAAAAAACUAUGGUGGGGAAUAAUGUCAACCUUCCCCCUCCUGAUGCUCGUGAUGUAUAAUGCCCAAGUGUUUCCACGUUUCUUUACUACCAACAAAGAAUUAAGACUA